rnacentral:rRNA from 1 species
UAGGGGGCAAGCGUUAUCCGGAUUUACUGGGUGUAAAGGGAGCGUAGACGGCAUUGCAAGCCAGAUGUGAAAGCCCGGGGCUCAACCCCGGGACUGCAUUUGGAACUGCAGGGCUGGAGUGUCGGAGAGGCAAGUGGAAUUCCUAGUGUAGCGGUGAAAUGCGUAGAUAUUAGGAGGAACACCAGUGGCGAAGGCGGCUUGCUGGACGAUGACUGACGUUGAGGCUCGAAAGCGUGGGGAGCAAA